rnacentral:rRNA from 1 species
GUGGGGAAUCUUGCGCAAUGGGCGAAAGCCUGACGCAGCCAUGCCGCGUGCAGGAAGAAGGCGCUACGCGUUGUAAACUGCUUUUAACCGGGAAGAAACCCCAGGACGUGUCCUGGGUUGACGGUACCGGAGGAAUAAGCACCGGCUAACUUCGUGCCAGCAGCCGCGGUAAUACGAAGGGUGCAAGCGUUAUCCGGAUUCAUUGGGUUUAAAGGGUGCGUAGGCGGAGCGUUAAGUCAGUGGUGAAAUCCUGCAGCUUAACUGUAGACUUGCCAUUGAUACUGGCGCUCUUGAGUGCGCUUGAAGUGGGCGGAAUGUGCCGUGUAGCGGUGAAAUGCUUAGAUCUGGCACAGAACACCAAUUGCGAAGGCAGCUCACUAAGGCGAUACUGACGCUGAGGCACGAAAGCGUGGGGAUCGAACAGGAUUAGAAACCCCUGUAGUCC